rnacentral:rRNA from 1 species
CGGAAUUCCUAGUGUAGCGGUGAAAUGCGUAGAUAUUAGGAAGAACACCAGUGGCGAAGGCGGCUUUCUGGACUGAAACUGACGCUGAGGCUCGAAAGCGUGGGGAGCGAACAGGAUUAGAUACCCUGGUAGUCCACGCUGUAAACGAUGAGUGCUAGGUGUCGGGGAGGAAUCCUCGGUGCCGGAGCCAACGCAAUAAGCACUCCACCUGGGGAGUACGACCGCAAGGUUGAAACUCAAAGGAAUUGACGGGGGCCCGCACAAGCGGUGGAGCAUGUGGUUUAAUUCGAAGCAACGCGAAGAACCUUACCAAGGCUUGACAUACCGAUGUUAGAUGUAGAGAUACAACAUUCCUUCGGGACAUUGGAUACAGGUGGUGCAUGGUUGUCGUCAGCUCGUGUCGUGAGAUGUUGGGUUAAGUCCCGCAACGAGCGCAACCCUUAUCUUCAGUAGCCAGCGAGAGAGACGGGCACUCUGGAGAGACUGCCGUGGAUAACACGGAGGAAGGUGGGGAUGACGUCAAAUCAUCAUGCCCCUUAUGUCUUGGGCAACACACGUGCUACAAUGGCUGGAAACAAAGUGAAGCGAGACGGUGACGUUAAGCAAAGCACAAAAACCCAGUCCCAGCUCGGAUUGUAGUCUGCAACUCGACUACAUGAAGCUGGAAUCGCUAGUAAUCGCGAAUCAGAAUGUCGCGGUGAAUACGUUCCCGGGCCUUGUACACACCGCCCGUCACACCAUGGGAGUUGGAAGCGCCCGAAGUCGAUGACCCAACCUGAGAAGGGGGGAGUCGCCGAAGGUGAAGCCAGUGACUGGGGUGAAGUCGUAACAAGGUAACCGUAA